GAGAAGUUGUUACUACUUAUAAUCACGGUUAAAAUUUAACAGACGUUUGUACAACCGGGUUAUAAUGUAAUAACAUUACAGAUAAUGCAUAUCUAAAGUGAGGUCUAUGUUAUAAUGGCAGUAGGCUACCGUUGAUUAUCAUUGAUGCUGCUAUUUAUUCAAGUAUUCAUUUACAACAAUAUGGAACAACUAGCCUUGCAUAUCAGUCGACAAAGCAGAUAGCAAUAUCCUUCUCUAGUCCCGCAACGUUGCCAGAUCGUUUAUUAACAAUUUAGAAAUAUAAUUAGUAUAACAGAAUUGGUUUCAUUUAUGAAAAAUUAUCAAGUCAUUAUUAUUAAUGAAAAUAUGACGAUUCCCUGGUUAAUGACUAUGGAGAAGACGAAACAAGUAACAAGAUAAAACCACAAGAGAGUCACGUGACAAGCUGCAGAUUACUAUUGGUGUUUGUUCUCAUUCAGCUGGAAUCGAUUGGCAAGGAAUUACAAAGUGGCAGAUCAAACAUUCUCCAAAAGCCGUUCAAGCACAGGCCUUCAAAACCCGCUCAAGCUCAUAACCCGUUGACAUUAGAGAUGUAUCACCCGCAAACAUCAGAGAGGAACCGCGAUUAUAAAGGUUCCAAUCGUGGUUGAUAAAAGCAAUCUAAAGUAAUUGUCGAACAUACAAGCGGGUAAUGACUUGAGCCUCUUGUUAUCAGUGGGAACUCGCCACGCCUUUCUAACAAAUACGAUAUUACCAUUAACAUUAUUUAUUUCGAGGAUUGUUUAAGGGACAUCUUGUUCUAUUUUAGUUCUAAAGAACUAGUUCAGUAUUUUUUUUGUAGUUCAAACUAUAACGAAUCUGCGCAGUGUACACGCAGUGUCCGAUACCACAAACGUAUCGAUAUUUAGUAUCGGAUCGAAACAAAAGUAUCGAUAGUGAAGUAUCGAGACAACUCUACGUCUACGCAACGCAAGUACGCAUGCGCUAUUAUUGUCAAAACUCAAAGAUAAAACUUUUAUGCAACAAGUUUCAAAGUAUUUAAUAUUCUUCUUUUGUUGUAAUUUCUCAUGUUUAUAAGUUAAUCUACUCAAAAGAUUGAUUUUUAAAAAUUACCCGUGUUAAUUCAAUGCCAAAUUUAAGCCAUUUUUACGAACAAGUAUUGAAUUCAUUUCCUGAAGUACAUAUCUGCGUUUUUGGUUAUAACCUACAAAUUUUAAUAAACAGUUGGUGAUACAUGGAACUAUGGUUAAUGGCUGAGAACGGCGGCAUGGAUAUUGUGAUUGCUAUUGGAGCAUUGGCCAGUGUCUUCAUUGGAGCAUUUGUCAGUCUAGUCAUGGUCUGUCGGCAUCGCACUUUCACAAAUAAAAACACCGCUUUCAUCUCAAAAGUCGCCGAACCCAAAGGAAUACAAUUCGACAACACCACUCUUCUGGGAUCGGAUCUUGAGUUGGGAGAAGUGCUGCUACAUCCUUAUAUUGAACACAUUCUACUCACAGAGAAUUGGACUGCAGAUGCUUCUGAUCUGAUCACACACUGCUUGGAAAUAGUGAAACUAUGUAGACAUGUAACCAACACUAUAGCGGCCUAUUCAGUCGGACAUCAUAACUCCCAAGCUCUCUAUGAAAUUGUACAGGUGGCGAAACAAGUGUCAGACUGUGUAGACGAUGUGGUUCGCACAAUGUACUGUCCGCCAGUACUGGACGCCAGUCUACUGGAAGCUCGCUGUCUGGCGCUAGUACUUACCGUCACUCAACUCAUUCUCGUUGCGAAGCACGGGCUGCUCCCUGCUUCCCCCUCCACCCCCGCUGCCGUCUGCGAGCGUGCGCUAGAACAUAUGCGCAAACACCUUACGGUUCUGAGAGAGGCGGCCUUAGUUCGUGAAGCAGCCGAACAUGAUGCAAAUUCUUCAGUAUUGCUAUAGGCUACUUCGUACUGUUUGCUUUAUAAACUCACAGCUAGCGCACAAGUUUAACUUUGCUGGCUGUGCCAAAUCAUUUAGAUCUUAGAUGUAAUAUCAACUGUUCAUAUUUUUUGGUGCCUAAUAAAAUAAAGAAUUGUAGUGGAGAGUUAGGGAAUGCACCUUUUUGGAACAAUAGCCCAGUGCACUGUUAGCGCGGCCCCGUCUCCUUUCUUUUGCCCGAUUCAAUUUUGUAAUAUCCAAGGCGAUCAGCACGCAGAUGCGUGGACUUUCUGCGAGGAGAAUUCUUUUUCCUUUCUUUUUCAUCCAUGCAAAAUGGAUAUAAUAUAUAUUUGAAGUAACACUUGCCAGAAUGCCUUAUUUUAAUCAAAGGUGAUUUGUAAUGGCCCGAUUAUGAUGUCCCCGUGUGAUUUUUUCUGUGAGGUUUUUUCAUAUCCUAUAUGUCAACCGUCCAACGACCUUCAAAGAUUGAAAGAACAUCGUAGGUCUACAGGAAGAAAUUUCCAACCUGCAAGGGUAAAUCAAAUACUAGGGUAAUAUCAAAUACUAGAAAUAGAUAAUUAUUUUAAGUGUAUCCCGAGUGGACGGGGGGAGGUCAAUUUGAUGAUGUGCUCUUCAAAUCUGCAUGAAACAAAACUUUAAAUUAACACUUUCAUUCUGAAAAUGAAAUGAAAAUUUUCUGACUUACUGUGUGUUUUGAAGGAAGUUUUGAUGCCGCACUCUAUAUAAUGACUUGACUUAUAUUUUCAUAUAUUUAUGCAGGUAGGCAGAUUUAUAUUUUCAUAAUAUUUAUGCAGGUAGGCAGAUUUAUAUGUUCAUAUAUUUAUGCAGGUAGGCACGUUACGAAACGGUAUCAUGUUUACACAUGGUUGGUGAAAAUCAUGGAAACAGCUUGAUAUUUCUUUCAAAAGGAAAGUUUGACGAUAGGUCUGAUUAGGAAUCCUAUUCGAAUUAGAAAAAAAAACACUUUUCUGUCGCUUCAAAAUUUUGGUCCGGUAUUUUGAAUCCAACUUCAUUCUUUUAAAUGGAAAGUUGGUAAUAUGAUGCAUGAUUUAGAUACAGAAUUUCAAGAGAAAAGCUAUUUCACAUUUUAAAAUAUUAAUAAAUCAUACUUUCAAACUUUUCUGUUAAAAUUGUUAAAUAUGUGAUUGGAUGUUACGGUAAUACUGUAAAAGUAAAAUUUGAUAGUUUAGAAUUUUUUAGAUUUUCAUGAACUCAUUUAUUUCAUUAUUGUAUGUUUCAUUUGUAUUUUUAAAUGUGAAUAACCAUGUAACGGAUUGACUUAUUGAUUUGCGGUUUUCGCCAUUAAUUUUAUCUUUAAAUUCUGUAUCGAAAUCAUGUAUUGUAUUACUACCCCUUCCUAUCUAAAAAAAUGUAGUUGGAUUCAAAAUGACGUACCAAAAUUUUGAAGCGACAGAAAAGUAGUUUUUUUUUUAAUAAUAUAGGAUCCCCCAAUUAGACCUAUUGUCAAAUUUCCCUUAAAAAAAAAAUAUAAGUUGUUUCCGUAUUUUUCACAAGCUAUGUAUACAUAACUAGUACUUUUGUUUUGCCAGUGUGAAGUAUUCAUUUAAUACAGUAUUCUUAGUAAUUUAUGUUGAUUUGUAUUAUUAUUCGUUAUUUUAUUAUUGUUUUGUCAAAAUAGAAACUGAUUUCAUUGAUUGAUUUUUUGAUUAUUAUUA
rnacentral:misc_RNA from 1 species